rnacentral:rRNA from 1 species
CCUACGGGUGGCAGCAGUGAGGAAUAUUGGUCAAUGGACGAGAGUCUGAACCAGCCAAGUAGCGUGAAGGAUGACUGCCCUAUGGGUUGUAAACUUCUUUUAUAAAGGAAUAAUACGAUGCACGUGUGCCUUUUGGCAUGUACUUUAUGAAAAAGGAUCGGCUAACGCCGUGCCAGCAGCCGCGGUAAUAAGGAGGAUGCGCGCGUUAUCCGGAUUUAUUGGGUUUAAAGGGAGCGUAGAUGGGUUGUUAAGUCAGUUGGGAAAGUUUGCGGCUCAACCGUAAAAUUGCAAUUGAUACUGGCAGUCUUGAGUACAGUUGAGGUAGGCGGAAUGCGUGGUGUAGCGGUGAAAUGCUUAGAUAUCACGAAGAACCCCGAUUGCGAAGGCAGCUUACUAAACUGUGACUGACAUUGAUGCUCGAAAGUGUGGGUAUCAAACAGGAUUAGAUACCCUGGUAGUC